GCUAUAAAAGGUACAGGAAUAUUCUAUUUAGAUUACUCUUUUAGCACUAAUAGCAUUUACCACCAUGGACUUUGAGAAACUGUACCCAUCACUCAAUAUAGCCCCAACAAGUCUCUAUAGAUUCCUGUUGCAAAACCUGCCAACAACAACACAGAACCCCAAACUAUGCAGGGAAUUAGCAGACUUGUUCUGCCAUUUUUCUUAUUUCAGAUAUAGGGGCAAGUUUUACAAGCAGAAACGAGGAGUACCAAUCAGGAGCCUGAUGGUGGGACACUAGCUGAACUAAUACUACGCUCCAAAGAAGAGACCACAGCAAGAGGCAUAAUACAAGAAGCAAGCCUAUAUACAUGCUAUGUAGAUGAUAUCUUUGUUAUCUGGAAUAGAAGGAGC
rnacentral:lncRNA from 1 species